UUAUAAUAUUUGUUAUAAUUCGAAUAUUCUUAAAUUAUAGGUUAUAGACUUUUAGAGAACUUAACCUAAAUAUUUUGAAAAUUUUAAGCAACCAAAUUUAGAAAACCAUGUACCAUGCCUGUUCAGUGUUCAUACACUUUUAUGAUUAAUUUAAUAUUGUUCGUCUAUAUUGAAUAUCGUAUACAUGCAUAUGAAAAGGGCCAUAUUAUAUAAUGGGAAAAUGUAAUUAUUUCCAUCGGCAGUAUUUGAACAGAGGUCGGUGCAUGUGCAAUGGAUUUGAAUAAUGCAGACGAACGGUUUCCUGAUGAUAAAAACACGGUGGUUGUCUGAACUAUGAUUUAACCGCACACGCAUGACUUCACACAAGUACCCACUCGGGAGAAAAACCGUUCUUGCUCACCGUAUGUGAUAAAACGUUCAUUUGAAAUGCACAUUUAAUUGCCGACUCGCGGGAAAAACUGUAUACAUUUGUGUAACGUUUACAAAUGCCAAAAAUCGUUGUCUACCGGCUGGGAAUUUAACUUUACAUUAUAAUAAUAUUAUGAUUUGUCUAAAAGUCAUGGGUCCCGUUUUCACGUGACAUGAUAAAAUGUUAAUGCGAAAAUCAACAUAGCACAUAAUAUGGCGGGAAAGUAAUUUGUGUACCAUGUUCCUUGAUGAAAUGAAAUGUGUAGCUUGAAAAUAAAAGAAGGAAUAGGUACACGAAUAGUAAUUCAAAUUGCAACAGGAAUUAUACAAACACUACAGAACUUUUAGUACGAACAUUUAAAGUGAACAUUUUUACAACACAAUUCCGUUGUUUUUGAUAUAACAAAAGUAUAUGACUAAAACACAAAGUUUGAAUAACAUUUCUAUCCCAGGAAGGAAUCAUCAAACCUAAAAUAAUUAAAUCAUCGAAGUUUGUGCGUAUAAUUAAUUAUGGUAAAGUCCGUACGAAUAAAUAAUUGGUCUGUCUCUGACGGGCGCCCCAGUAAAUAUGUACGAAAACAACAACAACUGAAAAUUUACAUCUAAAACUUAAAAAUAUUAAUAAGUCUUUUGUCUGUUUUUUUUUUUUUUAACUUAAAAAGUAUGGUCGUUUUUUUAACAAUUUUCAAGUAGAUUUUUAAAAAUAUACUAUCUCUCUCUCUUUCUCUCACACACACCACACACACGCACAUACAUACAAAAAUAUAUAUUCAUACCAUAUCUAUAAUAUACACACUCUAAAUGUUAAUAUUCGUGAAACAGAAGCCAGAAGAUGCGUAGUUGUUGUUUUAUCAAACGAUAGCGUUUAUACACCAUGAAAUUACUUUGGAAUUGUUGUCGAGCAGUAAGCCCAGACAAUCAUUGCCACAAUGCCACAUAAAAAAAAUGUUAUAAAAAAAAAAAAUAUGAAAGUAAAUGUACUGUGAACGUAUAAUUUGAGUCAAUGCUUGUCCCGCGAAAUAUGAUGCACACAUUACACUAUUUUUUAUAAUAUAUUAUAUUAUACAUUAUUGUAAUAAUAAUUGUAUAAAUGAAAACUAU